AGCUUCUAAGAAGCUUUAUAAAUGCAUAUUUGACUUUAUAUGUCUUUAGGAUUUAGGAUUUAAGAUUGCAUAUGUGCUUUCAAAAAAUUGACGUACUUUUUUGGAAUUUUUGAGUUGACCUACCUUUCCAUUUUGGAGGGUUGUGAUUCCUAUAGUAUAAUAAAAUUUAUUUAUGCUUUUUCCAUUUCGUAGAUAUAAAAUACUUCGACUUGUAAAGAUAGAAUUGAUUAUUUAUUUAUUUAU
rnacentral:lncRNA from 1 species